rnacentral:rRNA from 1 species
UACGGAGGGUCCAAGCGUUAUCCGGAGUCAUUGGGUUUAAAGGGUCCGUAGGCGGUUUUGUAAGUCAGUGGUGAAAGCCCAUCGCUCAACGGUGGAACGGCCAUUGAUACUGCAAGACUUGAAUUAUUGGGAAGUAACUAGAAUAUGUAGUGUAGCGGUGAAAUGCUUAGAGAUUACAUGGAAUACCAAUUGCGAAGGCAGGUUACUACCAAUAUAUUGACGCUGAUGGACGAAAGCGUGGGGAGCGAACAGG